rnacentral:rRNA from 1 species
AACGAACGCUGGCGGCAUGCCUAACACAUGCAAGUCGAACGAGACCUUCGGGUCUAGUGGCGCACGGGUGCGUAACGCGUGGGAACCUGCCCUUAGGUUCGGAAUAACUCCCCGAAAGGGGUGCUAAUACCGGAUAAUGUCUUCGGACCAAAGAUUUAUCGCCUUUGGAUGGGCCCGCGUUGGAUUAGCUAGUUGGUAGGGUAAAAGCGUACCAAGGCGACGAUCCAUAGCUGGUCUGAGAGGAUGAUCAGCCACACUGGGACUGAGACACGGCCCAGACUCCUACGCGAGGCAGCAGUGGGGAAUAUUGGACAAUGGGCUAAAGCCUGAUCCAGCAAUGCCGCGUGAGUGAUGAAGGCCUUAGGGUUGUAAAGCUCUUUUACCCGGGAUGAUAAUGACAGUACCGGGAGAAUAAGCUCCGGCUAACUCCGUG